GACGAACGCUGGCGGCGUGCCUAAUACAUGCAAGUAGAACGCACAGUUUAUACCGUAGCUUGCUACACCAUAGACUGUGAGUUGCGAACGGGUGAGUAACGCGUAGGUAACCUGCCUGGUAGCGGGGGAUAACUAUUGGUAACGAUAGCUAAUACCGCAUAAUAUUAAUUAUUGCAUGAUAAUUAAUUGAAAGGUGCAAUUGCACCACUACCAGAUGGACCUGCGUUGUAUUAGCUAGUAGGUGAGGUAACGGCUCACCUAGGCGACGAUACAUAGCCGACCUGAGAGGGUGAUCGGCCACACUGGGACUGAGACACGGCCCAGACUCCUACGGGAGGCAGCAGUAGGGAAUCUUCGGCAAUGGACGAAAGUCUGACCGAGCAACGCCGCGUGAGUGAAGAAGGUUUUCGGAUCGUAAAGCUCUGUUGUAAGAGAAGAACGGGUGUGAGAGUGGAAAGUUCACACUGUGACGGUAUCUUACCAGAAAGGGACGGCUAACUACGUG
rnacentral:rRNA from 1 species